AGACCAUGAUGUGGGCAUCUCCAAAGAAGUCCUUAUACUUUUCCCAUGCUUAGUAUAAAGAUUCUAAAUCCAACUAUGUGAAAGAAGUAAUAUUGUUCCUCGUCU
rnacentral:snoRNA from 1 species